GAUGAACGCUGGCGGCGUGCCUAAUACAUGCAAGUCGAGCGAACAGACGAGGAGCUUGCUCCUCUGACGUUAGCGGCGGACGGGUGAGUAACACGUGGAUAACCUACCUAUAAGACUGGGAUAACUUCGGGAAACCGGAGCUAAUACCGGAUAAUAUAUUGAGCCGCAUGGUUCAAUAGUGAAAGACGGUUUUGCUGUCACUUAUAGAUGGAUCCGCGCCGCAUUAGCUAGUUGGUAAGGUAACGGCUUACCAAGGCAACGAUGCGUAGCCGACCUGAGAGGGUGAUCGGCCACACUGGAACUGAGACACGGUCCAGACUCCUACGGGAGGCAGCAGUAGGGAAUCUUCCGCAAAGGGCGAAAGCCUGACGGAGCAACGCCGCGUGAGUGAUGAAGGUCUUCGGAUCGUAAAACUCGGUUAUUAGGGAAGAACAAAUGUGUAAGUAACUAUGCACGUCUUGACGGUACCUAAUCAGAAAGCCACGGCUAACUACGUG
rnacentral:rRNA from 1 species